AUAAUGAUAAAAUUUAUUUAGAAAGGUCUGAUUAUUAAAUUUAAAUCAUUAAAAAAUAUGCCAGAAAAAAAUAAUGAAGAAAAUGCAUAUGAGGAUCCGCUAAAUGCGCGAGAAGUUACGGAAGAAACCCAAGGAGAAAAAGCUCAAAGAUUUAAAGAAGCCCUCGAAGAAUUCAGGAGAUUAGAAGGGAUGAAUCCAGAGGAAUUAUUAGCUCAGGUAGAAGAAUAUCUAAAACGCGUAGAAAAAUAAAAAUUAUUACAUUAACCCCGUAGAGACUACACGCCGAGAAUCGUCACAAGACGAUUAUGAUAUAGUCCGACCUCUGCAGUGAUGCAGAGAACGCAGUAGAAAUAUUUGCGUCAUGUAAUAAAAGGAAGUUUUGAAUUUUGAUUUUUGAAUUUCGAAUUUAUUUGGGAUUUGGAAAUUGGGAUUUGGAAUUUCACUUUUGUUACAAGUAACAAAAGUGUAGAUACCCUUGUAGUCCACGCCGUAAACGAUGGAUGCUGGCUAUUGGCAGUGUCGACCCUGCCAGUGGCGAAGCUAACGCGUUAAGCAUCCCGCCUGGGAAGUACGAACGCAAGUUUAAAACUCAAAGGAAUAGACGGGGACUCACACAAGCGGUGGACCAUGUGGCUUAAUUCGACAACAAACGAAGAACCUUACCAGGACUAGAAACCCAACUGACCAUCCUAUGAAAGUAGGACUUCGCAAGACAGUUGGGCAGGUGCUGCAUGGUUGUCGUCAGUUCGUGUCUUGAGACGUACCGUUAAUUCGGGUAACGAACGAAACCCUUGCCCUGUGUUUUAAAUGUCACAGGGGACUGCCCGAGAUAAUUGGGAGGAAGGUGAGGAUGACGCCAAAUCAGCAUGGCCCUUGAUGUCCUGGGCUGCACACGUGGUACAAUGGUUGGUACAAUGGGUCAAAGCCGCAAGGCGGAGAAUAAUCCCACCAAAGCCAACCUCAGUUCGGAUUGAGGGCUGAAACUCGCCCUCAUGAAGCUGGAAUCGCUAGUAAUCGCCAAUCAGCUAUGUGGCGAUGAAUACGUUCCUGAGUCUUGUACUCACCGCCCGUCAAGCCAAGCAAGCUGGGGAUAGCCGAAGUUCCGCGCAAGCGGGCCUAAGCUGGAUUCAGUAAGAGGGGCUAAGUCGUAACAAGGCACGGGUAGGGGAACCUGCUCGUG
rnacentral:rRNA from 1 species